rnacentral:rRNA from 1 species
UCAGGCCUAACACAUGCAAGUCGAACGAGAACGGACUUAAGCUUGCUUAAGUUGUCAGCUAAGUGGCGCACGGGUGAGUAAUGUAUAGUUAACCUGCCCUCUAGAGAGGAAUAACAGUUGGAAACGACUGCUAAUGCCUUAUAUGCCUUUAAGACAGAAGUCUGCAAGGGAAAUGCUUUAGUGCUAGAGGAUGGGACUGUAUGGUAUCAGUUAGUUGGUGGGGUAAUGGCUUACCAAGACAAUGACGCCUAACUGGUUUGAGAGGAUGAUCAGUCACACUGGAACUGAGACACGGUCCAGACUCCUACGGGAGGCAGCAGUGGGGAAUAUUGCACAAUGGAGGAAACUCUGAUGCAGCAACGCCGCGUGGAGGAUGACACUUUUCGGAGCGUAAACUCCUUUUAUAUAGGAAGAUAAUGACGGUACUAUAUGAAUAAGCACCGGCUAACUCCGUGCCAGCAGCCGCGGUAAUACGGAGGGUGCAAGCGUUACUCGGAAUCACUGGGCGUAAAGAGCGUGUAGGCGGAUAAAUAAGUUUGAAGUGAAAUCCUAUGGCUUAACCAUAGAACUGCUUUGAAAACUGUAUAUCUAGAAUAUGGGAGAGGUAGAUGGAAUUUCUGGUGUAGGGGUAAAAUCCGUAGAGAUCAGAAGGAAUACCGAUUGCGAAGGCGAUCUACUGGAACAUUAUUGACGCUGAGAC